UACGGAGGGAGCUAGCGUUGUUCGGAAAUACUGGGCGUAAAGCGCACGUAGGCGGCGCAGCAAGUCAGGGGUGAAAUCCCGGGGCUCAACCCCGGAACUGCCCUUGAAACUGCAGUGCUAGAAUUUGGGAGAGGAUAGCGGAAUUGUCAGUGUAGCAGUGAAAUGCGUAGAUAUUGACAGGAACACCAGUGGCGCAAGCGGCUAUCUGGACCAACAUUGACGCUGAGGCACGAAAGCGUGGGGAUCAAACAGG
rnacentral:rRNA from 1 species